UAGAGAAUAAAUUAUUUUAGCUGCAUGAAGCAUAUCAAAAUAUGAUACAGCCAAUAAUUAACUUUCAUCAGGUUUAUUUCAAAUUUGGCAGCCCCAAAGCUCCUGCUAAGGUGGUAUUAAUUGUUAGUUCUGAGCAUUUGAAUUGUCCUCUGGAAAACUAGAAAAACUUUAUUUAUGUCAAGAUCUACCUAUGUGUGUAGUAAUCAAGCUCAAAAUGAAAUUUGAAAUGUCCAGUAUUUUUAUUCAUCUUGGUUAAUUUUUUUCCUAUUAUAGAUUGUAAAAGUAGGUCAGAAUUGCAAAACUUCAGGUUUUCAACCCGGUGAUGGCAGCAUUUGUUUGAAACUUACAGUUGUGGCAGGAGUCAGUGUGAACUUUGGUCUAAGUGAAAACGGCAC